GGUUAUAUUUUUCCUAGGGGCAUCCUGGGAAUCUGUCAUGAUGGCUAACCUCUCCCACUUUCUUUACAUCAAGAAGAGGCUCAGAUGCAUCUGGUGCAGGCUCUCCCACACACCUGUGAACACUCAGGGUUGCAACUCUGCUAGUGAGACUAGCAUGAAGAAGCCUGGAAGCUGUCCAUUAGCCCUUAAUUAGUGCACAAAAGGAAUGCCAGAAAAGUAUGAGUCAGAUUGUAUGGAUACAUGCAAUGCAGUGAUAAAGGACAAGUCCCUCUUCAGAACUGAAGAAGCUGAGGAAAUAAAAGCCAGUUUUCAGGCAGCUGUGAAGUUGACAGAAGAGCCUUUGUAACACUAUAACCACCACCUCCUGCAUGGGACAACCUCAGAACAUUUCUGAAUCAUCUUUGGGAUUUAUAGAAGCUAAAGGCUGAUAAAGAGAUGAGUCAGUUUCCCCAGAGGCUUGUAGGGGACUUCUGUGACCUCUUGUUUGACUAGGGUUUUAACUCUCAAGGGGAACCUUGGAAAGAGGACAGACCUUACAGUUGCCUUUGAAAAAAAAAUAAAUAAAAAAUAAAAAGCAAACAACAACA